AGAGUUUGAUCCUGGCUCAGGAUGAACGCUAGCGGCAGGCUUAACACAUGCAAGUCGAGGGGCAUCGGGAGGGAAGCUUGCUUUCCUUGCCGGCGACCGGCGCACGGGUGAGUAACACGUAUGCAACCUGCCCUCUUCAGGGGGACAACCUUCCGAAAGGGAGGCUAAUCCCGCGUAUAUCGGUUUCGGGCAUCCGAGAUCGAGGAAAGAUUCAUCGGAAGAGGAUGGGCAUGCGGCGCAUUAGCUAGACGGCGGGGUAACGGCCCACCGUGGCGACGAUGCGUAGGGGUUCUGAGAGGAAGGUCCCCCACACUGGUACUGAGACACGGACCAGACUCCUACGGGAGGCAGCAGCGAGGAAUAUUGGUCAAUGGGAGAGAUCCUGAACCAGCCAAGCCGCGUGAGGGAAGACGGCCCUAUGGGUUGUAAACCUCUUUUGUCGGAGAACAAAACCCGGGACGAGUCCCGGACUGCGUGUAUCCGAAGAAAAAGCAUCGGCUAACUCCGUGCCAGCAGCCGCGGUAAUACGGAGGAUGCGAGCGUUAUCCGGAUUUAUUGGGUUUAAAGGGUGCGUAGGCGGUCCGUUAAGUCAGCGGUAAAAUUGCGGGGCUCAACCCCGUCGAGCCGUUGAAACUGGCAGACUUGAGUUGGCGAGAAGUACGCGGAAUGCGCGGUGUAGCGGUGAAAUGCAUAGAUAUCGCGCAGAACUCCGAUUGCGAAGGCAGCGUACCGGCGCCAGACUGACGCUGAGGCACGAAAGCGUGGGGAUCGAACAGGAUUAGAUACCCUGGUAGUCCACGCAGUAAACGAUGAAUGCUGGUUGUCCGGGUCGAAUGAGACCUGGGCGGCGAAGCGAAAGCGAUAAGCAUUCCACCUGGGGAGUACGCCGGCAACGGUGAAACUCAAAGGAAUUGACGGGGGCCCGCACAAGCGGAGGAACAUGUGGUUUAAUUCGAUGAUACGCGAGGAACCUUACCCGGGCUCAAACGGGAGUGGAAUGGACCAGAGACGGUUCAGCCUACGGGCCGCUUCCGAGGUGCUGCAUGGUUGUCGUCAGCUCGUGCCGUGAGGUGUCGGCUUAAGUGCCAUAACGAGCGCAACCCCCGCCGGCAGUUGCUAACGGGCAAUGCCGAGGACUCUGCCGGGACUGCCGCCGCAAGGCGUGAGGAAGGCGGGGAUGACGUCAAAUCAGCACGGCCCUUACGUCCGGGGCGACACACGUGUUACAAUGGGCGGUACAGCGGGAAGCCAGGCGGCGACGCCGAGCGGAACCCGAAAGCCGUUCUCAGUUCGGAUCGGAGUCUGCAACCCGACUCCGUGAAGCUGGAUUCGCUAGUAAUCGCGCAUCAGCCAUGGCGCGGUGAAUACGUUCCCGGGCCUUGCACACACCGCCCGUCAAG
rnacentral:rRNA from 1 species